rnacentral:rRNA from 1 species
CCUACGGGAGGCAGCAGUGAGGAAUAUUGGUCAAUGGACGAGAGUCUGAACCAGCCAAGUCGCGUGAAGGAUGACUGCCCUAUGGGUUGUAAACUUCUUUUAUAUGGGAAUAAAAUGUUCCACGUGUGGGAUUUUGUAUGUACCAUAUGAAUAAGGAUCGGCUAACUCCGUGCCAGCAGCCGCGGUAAUACGGAGGAUCCGAGCGUUAUCGGGAUUUAUUGGGUUUAAAGGGAGCGUAGGUGGAUUGUUAAGUCAGUUGUGAAAGUUUGCGGCUCAACCGUAAAAUUGCAGUUGAAACUGGCAGGCUUGAGUACAGUAGAGGUGGGCGGAAUGCGUGGUGUAGCGGUGAAAUGCUUAGAUAUCACGAAGAACUCCGAUUGCGAAGGCAGCUCACUGAACUGCAACUGACACUGAGGCACGAAAGUGUGGGUAUCAAACAGGAUUAGAUACCCCGGUAGUC